rnacentral:rRNA from 1 species
GACGAACGCUGGCGGCGUGCUUAACACAUGCAAGUCGAACGGAAAGGCCCUGCUUGCAGGGUACUCGAGUGGCGAACGGGUGAGUAACACGUGGGUGAUCUGCCCUGCACUUCGGGAUAAGCCUGGGAAACUGGGUCUAAUACCGGAUAGGAGCCAUUUUUAGUGUGAUGGUUGGAAAGUUUUUUCGGUGUAGGAUGAGCUCGCGGCCUAUCAGCUUGUUUGUGGGGUAAUGGCCUACCAAGGCGGCGACGGGUAGCCGGCCUGGGAGGGUGGACGGCCACAUUGGGACUGAGAUACGGCCCAGACUCCUACGGGAGGCAGCAGUGGGGAAUAUUGCACAAUGGGCGCAAGCCUGAUGCAGCGACGCCGCGUGGGGGAUGACGGCCUUCGGGUUGUAAACUCCUUUCGCUAGGGACGAAGCUUUUUGUGACGGUACCUAGAUAAGAAGCACCGGCUAACUACGUG